GAAGCUUUUUCCUGAAUGAAUGAAUAUCCCUCUGAUCUAUGACAGAAUCCAAUUCUGCUCAACUUUGGGACUGGAGGUUUCUGUGGUGUUCAUCUUUGGGGAUGAUCAAGAAAUCCACCCAUGGCAAGAUAUGUACAUGAAUGGUCAGCUACAUCAUGUAAUAUGUCACUGAAGAUCCUCAAUCAUCCAGGGCUGGCUUGGCAUGUAUUGUUGAGACCUGUGAGGACAUGGAGAGGGGUCCCAUCUAAGAAAAGUACCCACCUACAAUGCCUGCGGAGAGAGAGAAAAUGACUAUCAUCUGGGAGAUUCUUGGCCUUGCUUGAUUGAAUAUUUAUCAUCAUUGGAGCGUCGAUCUAUUGUGAAGAUCUUUAUGUCAUUUUAGACAUAAAGAUGGUUUUGACACCUUUUGUUCAGUGUUUG